CCGUUGUAAAAAAUUAAGAUAAUGGUUGUAUAACAAUGAAAAUGUAGCAUUUCAGUGAGGUUUAUAAUUCUAUGCAUUAAAAGUUUUAAAUCUGAAAAUAUAAAUAAAUAGAUCUUAUGCGGAAUCUAUGGUGCAGUGCAAAAAUUCGUAAUAUAAGUGUCUCAUCACUAUUUCAGUUAUGAUUUCUCAAAUAAUGGAGGAUGGGGCGUCGGGUUCGGAGAAGGCGCUGCGCGGCGCGGUGUCGGCGCGCUGGGCUGUGGGCGCGGCGGCGA